UACGAAGGGGGCUAGCGUUGUUCGGAAUCACUGGGCGUAAAGCGCACGUAGGCGGAUUUGUAAGUCAGGGGUGAAAUCCCGGGGCUCAACCUCGGAACUGCCUUUGAUACUGCAAGGCUCGAGGUCGGGAGAGGUGAGUGGAAUUCCUAGUGUAGAGGUGAAAUUCGUAGAUAUUAGGAAGAACACCAGUGGCGAAGGCGGCUCACUGGCCCAAUUCUGACGCUGAGGUGCGAAAGCGUGGGGAGCAAACAGG
rnacentral:rRNA from 1 species